rnacentral:rRNA from 1 species
GACGAACGCUGGCGGCGUGCUUAACACAUGCAAGUCGAACGGAAAGGCCCUGCUUUUGUGGGGUGCUCGAGUGGCGAACGGGUGAGUAACACGUGAGUAACCUGCCCUUGACUUUGGGAUAACUUCAGGAAACUGGGGCUAAUACCGGAUAGGAGCUCCCGCUGCAUGGAGGGGGUUGGAAAGUUUCGGCGGUUGGGGAUGGACUCGCGGCUUAUUAGCUUGUUGGUUGGGUAGUGGCUUACCAAGGCUUUGACGGGUAGGUGGCCUGAGAGGGUGACCGGCCACAAUGGGACUGAGGUACGGCCCAGACUGCUACGGGGGGCAGCAGUGGGGAAUAUUGCACAAUGGGCGGAAGCCUGAUGCAGCAACGCCGCGUGCGGGAUGACGGCCUUCGGGUUGUAAACCGCUUUCGCCUGUGACGAAGCGUGAGUGACGGUAAUGGGUAAAGAAGCACCGGCUAACUACGUG